rnacentral:rRNA from 1 species
AGAGUGGCCCAAACCAUAACACCCUGAAUGAGCCCAAUCUCAGAAGCUAAGAAGGAGUUGGGCCUGGUUGGUACUUGGAUGGGUGACCGCUUGAGAAUACAAAGGGCUGUAGGCUUUU